AUGAGGAGGUCGUACCCCUUGGGGGUAACACACGUACGGGUUAGCACCCGGUUACUCCUAACAGCCGAUCCUGAAAGGGUGCUUAAGGGGAUCAGAAGACCACCACCACCGCCGGCCACCUCCAGGUCCGUGCCGGCGGCAUCCUUCGUGUCUGCUACAUCGCCUGCUGAUGCCCUUCCUCCCGACGAUCUUCUCACUGCUGGAGAUGCUAAGGUGGAGCCAGGGGCUAUCCUGUUAAUGGAUCAAGAUAAUCACGCAAUGAACAUUAAAAAUGAUGCCAUUUUGUUUGACAUAGACGAACCUUAUGCAAAGAACUUUCCCACAUGGAGAGUGGAGAUCAUUGUCUCAUGUAAGGAAUCUCCCAAUGUUUUUCUGCCACUAAGGUUGAAGGAUGUUAAUCAUGAUGAUAAGGCAGACAUUGGGAGAGAUCUCAAGACGCAUGUGCCAUCAUGCACAUUACUAAUGCAAAGGAGACUAAAGUCAAAACUAUUGGAUUUAUUCCACUAG
rnacentral:rRNA from 1 species